CUGUCUGGCAACCUGACAGAGAUAUAAAUGUAUGUUAUGUUAUUGCUUACCGUAUCUUAAACUCAACAAUCAGAGGAGCUUCCCGAACUCCGCGUUCCCACCCGAAGGUUGUGUUAUGUGUUUGGGGAGUCUGAUAAGGAAGUGAUAAUAAACCAGACGGAAGGAAUAUGUCAACUUGUCCUCAGUUCCACUUCUCCUUUGUUGUUGUGUUAUGUGUUUGGGGAGUCUGAUAAGGAAGUGAUAAUAAACCAGACGGAAGGAAUAUGUCAACUUGUCCUCAGUUCCACUUCUCCUUUGUUGUUGUGUGUGUGUGUGAUUAAGCUUUCAAUAAAAGGCUGGACCAAAGGGGUGCUCGGCGGAAUGUCUUGGAGGUCGUCGUGCUCGUAGCACGUGCGUCUGAGCUUCCCCUUUGGCCAAAGCUUACAAAGAUA